GAGCCGGCAGAGCGUCUGCACCUGCCAGCUACUCAGCGCACCUUUGGAACUCAGCUGGAAUUUGGGGUCACUCUUCGGGAUCAUGGAUCAACCACGGAGCUGGUUAUUGCUGCGAUGAGAACAGCGGCUGCUGCUGCUGUGUCCCCAGAGUGAGUUUCAUGUAACUCUGCAACAUUGAUGCACUGAGGAAGACAAGGAAAAGUCCUGAGGAGGCUCAGAGCUGGCGCAAGCUCCGUGUGUGUGUGUGUGAGCGUGGGUGAGGAGGAGGCACAUCUCGAACCAUGUCCUAGAGGUCAGCCUACCUGCAAGUGACAGUGAGGACCACGUGAGGCACGCUUUGCACUGAAAAAGGCCCUGGGCUUCUUUUGCAGAUAUCUCAACCCCAUCUUUAAUGGCCAGUUCAUCACACUAAGGGGAAGGAGAUGUUUGAUUUUGUCUGAAUGCAAAAAGUUCAGUAGAUCCUAGAGGAAGCCUCCAGAGACUCGUUACAGAGCAAAGAAGAGGUUCUAAGGUGGAUGGGAAUCUUCACCCCCACAGAGAAGGAUGUGUGUCCAUGAGGAAAGGUGCCUUAAAAAUACUGGCCGAAUCAAAGCAAACAAGUGAACUUGAAAAUGGACCACAAAGAAAGAUGAACACAUUGCCCUGGAUGAACACAUCCUUCGGACCUGCUCACUCCACUGGGAUGGUUUGAAGGCAGAUUUGGCCUCCCUACUGGCCUGUGGGCUCUUGGAAGGGAGGGCAUUUGUCUUGUUCGCAGGUGAGCAAUUUGGAGCCUUGCUUGGGAUCAGGCGUGGAUGAACUUCCCAGUAACUGUGAGGCCAAAGGGAAAUUUCGUGUUUCAGCACCAGAUCAAGUUCAGUCUGCAACCUGAGAAGACAUGCAGGCGUCAUCCUCUCUCCCUGUGUUUUGGUGAAACAUGCUAAUAAUAUUGCUCCUUAUGUUUGGACAACGUCCCAAGUCACCAGUACGGCAAAGACACUGCCAUCUGAGAAUAGACCAAAGGAAGAAUGGAAGUUAAGAGCGAACAGGUGAUGUCAAGAACAGAAUUGCUGAACAGAACAGAGUGAAACCAUUAAACACCGUUAGGAUCCCAAGCCAGGCAGUCACCCUGACACGUGGACGAGAUCCCUGAUGUGCUGCCUGCAGCCAGCCAUCUGUGCCCUCGGUCAGGCUCACUCCCUCAAGCCCCGUGGAACCUGAAGGAAUGACAUACAGAGACACCUGGGAUGUCCUGAAAAGAUCAUUUAGUUUGCAGUCCGAGCACUGCAGAACCAAACUUUCACCCUCCUAGUCAUGCAAACUUGAACC
rnacentral:lncRNA from 1 species